GGACCCCCUGGUAACAGUAUGAGCUCGAAAAUGAACAUCACACAGCACAGAUUUGGAGUCUAGAAGUAAACUGGGAAAAGUAUAUGAGGAAAUUCAAUAAUACCUUACCAAGAACUAUAGGAUGACAACAUUUAAAGGAAACUUAAAGUUCAGCCACCACAAGUACCUGGUAGUUCUACCAUAUUCCUGACAAGAGAUCAUUCAUUCGAUGAAUGCCUAAGUCCCUAGUGAUAAAAGACCGAAAUAUUUCCUCAAAUGAGAGAAUCUUACUGCUCCCAGUUUCUAUCUGGUUGACUUAUUUUGGGAACAACUAAAGAAUCUUUCUUCUACAUGAAUAGUCACAUAAGUAUUCCCACAUAUUAAUAAAAACUAUUACAU